UUCCUACGGGGCGCAGCAGUGAGGAAUAUUGGUCAAUGGGAGAGAUCCUGAACCAGCCAAGCCGCGUGAGGGAAGACGGCCCUAUGGGUUGUAAACCUCUUUUGUAAGGGAGCAAAGGGCGCCACGUGUGGCGUUUUGCGAGUACCUGAAGAAAAAGCAUCGGCUAACUCCGUGCCAGCAGCCGCGGUAAUACGGAGGAUGCGAGCGUUAUCCGGAUUUAUUGGGUUUAAAGGGUGCGCAGGCGGAAUGUCAAGUCAGCGGUAAAAUUUCGGGGCUCAACCCAGUCGUGCCGUUGAAACUGGCGU
rnacentral:rRNA from 1 species